rnacentral:rRNA from 1 species
UACGUAGGGGGCGAGCGUUGUCCGGAAUCAUUGGGCGUAAAGAGCUCGUAGGCGGCUCAGUAAGUCGGGUGUGAAACCCCCAGGCUCAACCUGGGGACGCCACUCGAUACUGCUGUGGCUAGAGUCCAGUAGAGGAGUGUGGAAUUCCCGGUGUAGCGGUGAAAUGCGCAGAUAUCGGGAGGAACACCAAUUGCGAAGGCAGCUCGCUGGGACGUCACUGACGCUGAGACGCGAAAGCGUGGGGAGCAAACAGG